rnacentral:rRNA from 1 species
AUUGAACGCUGGCGGCAGGCCUAACACAUGCAAGUCGAGCGAUCGGCGGACGGGUGAGUAAUGCCUAGGAAUCUGCCUGGUAGUGGGGGAUAACGUCCGGAAACGGGCCCUAAUACCACAUACUAUCAGAUGUGCCCAGUGGGGAUUAGCGAGUAGGUGAGGUAACGGCGCACCUAGGCGACGAUCCCUAGCUGGUCUGAGAGGAUGAUCAGCCAACCUGGGACUGAGACACGGCCCAGACUCCUACGGGAGGCAGCAGUGGGGAAUAUUGCACAAUGGGCGCAAGCAUGAUGCAGCCAGGCCGCGUGUAUGAAGAAGGCCUGCGGGUGGGAAAGUACUUUCAGUGGGGAGGCGGUACCGGCAGAAGAAGCACCGGCUAACUCCGUGCCAGCAGCCGCGGUAAUAC